rnacentral:ncRNA from 1 species
GAGUAGUGAUCCUCGAGGAGGCCAUAUUACGGGAAAAUGUGGUUAUGGGGAUAAAUUGCCAAAUUCCGGAGACACCCUAAAGUUUAAGAUACCAAGCAUUAUAUGAAAAUAUGUAUGUGGCUGAAGUAAUUACUCAGGUAUGGUAACAAUGCUUAAAAUUUGUGAAAACAAAAUGGACAAUCGCGGAUCUAAAUCAAUUUUAAAUAAUAACCAAAAAUUUAGAGUUGUAAAAGAGCAACGAGUAGACGGCAAUUGAUUUGUUAAUUCUUCUUUAAUAAAUUUAAGAUGUACUCUAAAUGGUUUCGAGAGAAACAG